GGGGGGGGGGGGUAACCAAUACCUAUUGGGAAGGGUUAUGGGCUGAAUUGCGUCCCCAAAAUUCGUGUUGAAGCCCUAACGCCGAGGACCUCAGGAUGUGGCUGUAGUUGGAGAAGAGGCCUUCACAGAGAUGAUCAGGGUGAGCCCUCGUCCAAGGUGGUUCUUGUGAUUACGCGAAUAGGGGAUUAGGACACUGAAACGUGAGAGGGAAGGCCAUGUGAGGACACAGCGGGAAGACGGCCAUCCGCAAGCUAGGGAGAGAGGCCUCGGAAGGGACCAACCCUGCGGACGCCUUGUUCUCGGGUUCCAGAACUAUGGGGAAGUAAUUUCUGUUGUUGCAGCGACCUGCCCGGCGCUCUGUUAAGGCGGCGAGCAGACUCCUCCGGAAGCGCAGGCACCACCUCGAUGAUGCAGCCGUCUGAACGUCGUCUUAUUACUAUUAUUGCUAAUUAAAACAUAUACAUGGGCCGGCAUGCGGUGGAGCCCGCUUCUGCCUGGGGUCAGGCCGCCGGGAGGAAGAGGAGGCAGCGCUGGAGCCAGAUUGCAGCGAACACAGUUGUCACCUGGAGAAGCCCAGGGUAAUUACAACCAAAGGGGGACACCAACAGGAACGAAAAUUUGUGCUUAAUCCUGGAGGAAAGAUACCCAGCCCCAGGUCUAGGAUGAGGCCCAGGCCGUGGAGGGGGUUGGGGUGGGAAGUCAGGACCCGGGCCGUGGCGUCAGCGUGAACCGCAGGCGGGAAGGGCUUUAGGGCCCGCCGGGAACAGUGGGCGCAGGGUCUGGCCGAGGGGACCCGCGUAACAAAGGCGCGCUUCCGUGGGGAGGCCGUCGUAGUGAUGAGUGAUUGUAGCCCGGGAGCAUCCCGCGGAGCCCAUGGGACACAGAGGAGGAACCAGGAGAGUCGGGGCAGGCGUCGCGGAGGAGGUGAGGUCUCGAAGAAGAGGCACUGGCCAGAGGAGGGUACGGAAGGACAUUACAGGAAAAGGAAGCACACUGCAGGGCCCAGGUGUCACCAGGGAUAGGUAUGUUUGUGGGGCAGACACGCAUUGCUUAUGGUAUGAGAAGCGCCUGGAAAGGUACCCAGAGUGAGGACGCAGAAUGUGGAUUAGAAGCAAGUUUGGGCUGUAUCCCAAAGAAUUGUGAUCUGGGGAGAGAGGAGCUUGCUCUGGGAUGCAGACAUCGAGCUACCUGGUCCUACUCAGUGAGGAGACAGGCCUGCACAUGGGAAGAGCAACAGUGCCAGCACUGGGACACGCGUUUUACUGUUAGCCUCCCUCUCACUUUCUCCACAGCUGGGCGGACUUUCCUUGGCUCUCUUCUCUCUCCCAUUUCUGCAGCUCUUUUUUUCCACGCAUGUCACUGCCUGUGACAAAGGCAGGCCAUGCCUGCAGUGCUCCAGGCCCCUGAGGAAUGCCUUGGCACAGACUGCUCACCCUGAGUCACACUGAUGCCUUAAAGAUACGAACAGCUGAAGGCUGGGCUGUGACCGUGAGCCCUUUCAAAGUGUGCGUGGAGUGAAGCGCCCGUGUCCCUCUGCACCAGCCCAACCACGCCCCUCACACGCGUGCAAUUAAGAAUCUUGCCUGGUGAGGACACCUUUGCGCGGAUCAUCCAUCACGUUCUUUAGGUUGGAACUGAGGCCUCCUCUCUCUUGAGGGUUCUGUGCAUGGCUGUUUCACUUAGAAUUCCCGGCAUGUCCGACAGCACCUCUCCACGGUUAUCUCUAGUGGGGGAUCAAGCACUGCUCCCACUGUCUCAGGGGAAUAAGAUGCUUCCGCUGAAGCGAGACUGACACCAUCGCCCAAAACCGAUAAGCGUGAGAUCUGGGCUGUGGGAGUCACGGUUACUGGGAACACUUUUCCUUCCCCGAGAGGGAAGCAUUUGUCAGAGGAGUGCUGUAACCUUGGACUUCCAGAUUACGAAAUUUCCUAGGGAAUCCCUCAUAUCAGCAGCACGUCUCCAUCCGCUGAACUUAAAAAGAAAGAAAAUCCAAAUCACUUUGAAAAAUCAAACAAAUUUCUUUGCCUUAUAUGGCUAAGAGGAGGGGUAUGAGUGUGGGGGAGAGGAUGAUGUGGAAAGAGCUUGUCCAGCAUGCGUCCCGGUGCCCGCCCUCAGCAGGGAAAGGAGAAGCUAAGAGAGAUGUGGGUGGGGACUGUCUCACAGUGGGGAGGCAUAGACGAGGGGUGACUCGAGGGCCCUAAAAGGCCACUUCCCUGUGCCCUCCUCCCAAAGGAAUCCCUUCCCAGUGAUACUCCUUUGGGCUAGAGCAGCACUUCUCAGUCUGCGCUGCAGGGAGCGCUGGGGCUUCCAGGGCAGGCAAGGGCAGGAGAGCGGCGUUCUACUCCUUCCCCCACCUCUCGCAAGGGGUGCCCCCAAUUCCUCCAUGGCCCAUAUCAGGCUUCGCCUGGAGAUUUCUUUUGAAAAAAGUUUUCUUCUUCUUAGUAGGUAUAAUGGUUAAUUUUAUGUGUCAACUUAGCUAAGCCACAGUACCAUCAUAUUUGGUCAAACCCCAUCCUAGAUGUCACGUGAGGUGUUUUUGGAUGAGAUUAGCAUUUAAAUCAGCUUUGAGUAAAGCAGAUUACUCUCCUUAAUGGAGGUGGGCCUCCUCCAAUCAGUUGAAGACCUUAAAAGAAAAGUCUGAGGUCCCCCAAGGAAGGAAUUCUGACUCCAGACUGUCUUCUGACUCGAGGUGCAACAUCAACUCUUCCUUGGGUCUUGGGACUUGCCAGCUUCCACAAUCUCGUGUGCCAAUUCCUUAAAAUCAAUCUCUCACUCACUCGCCCUCUUUAUUCACACCCUAUUUGUUCUGUUUCUCUGGAGAACACCGAUUAACACAGUAGCUUGUUAAAUUUAGUGGUAUGGGUGAAGCAAUUUGGAAAAUAUCUUAGAUGUAGGACAGAAUUGAACCAAAGAAUAAAUAUGUUGAUGUUGUUGGGUUCUCGCUGUGGAGAAAGGGCAGACAAAAGUGGAAUGGGCAAGGCAAGAAAGGCCUCCGGGAGUAGACAGGAAUUGGAGGUAUUGUGCAAACUCAGGAUUUCUAAAGUGUGAUCUGUAUGUGUCUAUAGGGGUUUCUGUGCUUCUGUGUGCACAUUUGUGUGUGUGCGUAUGUAUAAGUGUAUAUGCGUGCUUAUGUUUCCUAGUUCUGCCUGCUGAGAACAACACACAGCAAAGCCCCCCCAGCAGCAAUAAGUACACCUAGUGCCCAGGGAGUGGUCGCUCAUAUUUCCCACAAAGAGGGAUCAGACUACUCUGGAAAAAGGCUGAUUCCAAGGCUAGGGCAGGGAGGGCAAGACAAGCCUGGAACAUCUCGUGAAGCCAGAAAGUAAAGGCGUGCAGAUGAAAAAUAGUGGAGCACGUUACCAGGACUUGGGAGACGGCUCAAAGGCCUCCCAUGGGCUGAAUCGGGUACAGGUGGAGCACCGAAAUCUUCAGUACAGUAAUAAACUAUUGAAAAGCGGGAAUGUGUCAAUCCAUAUGGAUGAUUUUAAAAGAUACAUAAAUAAAUGGUGAGAAGGGAGGGCUCUCUUACAGCAGAAUGCUGAGGGCUGAAUGGUCAUGUGGAGAAUGGUGUAGAGAAUGCUGGAGAGGGAAAAAUCUUCAUUUGAUAGCCACAGAGUAAAGAUCAGGUAAGCAGGAAACAGCGAUGGAUGCUACGUCCAGGGGAUAUGUGGGUAAGGAGCGGGACACCUGCAUGUCUGAGGCAUCUCCCCACAGCCUGCUUAGCAGUUUAAGGGAGGAAAAAGCCUAAUAUGUAUUCCACAGAGAUGAGAGUCACCUGCACCUGGGAACGUCGUGUUCUCCUGCCAUGGUACCUUGUGACGGACACAGCUCCACCUGUGCAGCUGGACAGCCAGAAAUGCACAACCCCAAUCUCACUGUGAGGAAGCAGAAGACGAACACAAAAUGAGGACUGUUCUGUUUCUAAAAAGAAGGACGCACAUGUGGGGGGUGGGCUCUAUUUUUCAGAUAUGUCAAUGUUAUAAAAGACAAUGAAAGGCUGUGGAAAUGUUUUGGACGAAAGGAGACUAAAAGAGCAUGACAACUAAAUGCAAUUCCCGACCCUAGAAUCCUGUCCUGGAGAAGAAUGAAGUGCUAAAAAGAACAUUAUUAAAUCAACUGACAAAACCAGAAUAUGGCUGCCAGAUUAGAUAAAAGCAUUAUACCAAUGUAACUGUGUGGACCUGAGAUCUGUACUGUGCUUAUGCAAGAGGAUAUUUCUAUUCUUAGGGAAUACACACUGGAGUAUUUAAAGGUAAAGUGCCUUCAUGUAACUUACCUUCAAUUGGUUCAGAAAAAAUAAUUCUGUAUUUAUACACAUAGAUGUAUGUGCCUGUAUACACACAGAUGGAUGAUAGAUAUAGAUAGAUGAUAGACAGAUAGAUAGAUAGACAGAUAGAUAUAGAUAGAUAGAUAGAUAGAUAGAUAGAGAUAAAUAGAUAGGUAGGUAAGUUGGUAGAUAGAUAGAAAGAUAAUAGACAGUGACAGAGACAGAGAGAGAACAAGUUCCUUGGGGAAAAAGAGUGCUCUGUGGGGAAGAGAGACAUCUGUUCCCUGUGUCUGUAGCAACAUACUUUCUAGGGCCGUGCCCACAUUAUGGCUGGUUGAACGAGUCCUCUGGCCUGAAGAAAUGACUAAAAGUAUAUGAGGUGAAGUUGGGGGACUGGUUGGAUCAGGUUGUUCAGACCAAGGGAAUACACCUAAGGCGCUAGCCUCAGCCUCCUUUCGAUGUCCACGUGGUGCAUUCUAUACACUUCCAGCUUCAUCACUGUACCAGCCAGUCUUCCAGUAGGAAACUGAUGGCACACUGAAUCUAGAUAAUUGAAGCUAGUUUAAUAAAAGGACUAUUUACAGAGGUAGGGGCAGAAUUAGAGAAACCAACAAGACAUGGUACAGCUCCCCAUGAAAAGUAGCAGUGGGGAGCCAGUGCUGUCAGAAAAAGUAAGGGAAGAAACAGUUAGCAGAACCUGAAGCCCAGAGAAGAGCUGUGUGGAGACCUGGUCUGACCACCUCACAGGAGCUAUGGUCUUUGGUAGACGGAUGCGCCUGACUCUGCAGCCAACCCUCAGCAGCUCAGCAGGGAGGGAGCUGUGGGGCACAAACACCCUGAGGGUAUUUGCCUUGCACCCCCUGGUCUUCUGCCAGGCUCUCCCAUUGGCCGAGUUCACCUGGAAGCCAGAGAGCAUGCCUAUGGUCGUCUACACAGGUCAGUCUCCCAGGGCACAGAGCAGGGUGGAGAAGGGUGGAAAGGGAAUCCGGAAAGGGAGACGAUUCAGCAAUCAGUAAUGGGGGCUGCAGUGAAUGUUUAACUUUGUGGAAGCACAGAGAGCUGACUGACAUUCAAUGUCACCAAGCAAAAGAGUUCUGAUUGUAUAUGGAAGAUUCUUGGAAAGAGAGUAGUUAAAAAGUUUGGUAGGAAAAUUAAAAAAAAAAAGAAGUACGGC
ensembl:lncRNA